rnacentral:rRNA from 1 species
UACGUAGGUGGCAAGCGUUGUCCGGAAUUAUUGGGCGUAAAGCGCGCGCAGGUGGUUUCUUAAGUCUGAUGUGAAAGCCCACGGCUCAACUGUGGAGGGUCAUUGGAAACUGGGGAACUUGAGUGCAGGAGAGAAGAGUGGAAUUCCACGUGUAGCGGUGAAAUGCGUAGAGAUGUGGAGGAACACCAGUGGCGAAGGCGACUCUUUGGCCUGUAACUGACACUGAGGCGCGAAAGCGUGGGGAGCAAACAGG